UACAGAGGGGGCAAGCGUUAUUCGGAAUUAUUGGGCGUAAAGGGCGCGUAGGCGGCCUGGCAAGUGGAUGGUGAAAUCCCUCGGCUUAACCGAGGAACUGCCAUCCAGACUGCUUGGCUUGAGACCGGGAGAGGUGAGUGGAAUUCCCAGUGUAGCGGUGAAAUGCGCAGAUAUCAGGAGGAACACCGGUGGCGAAGGCGGGUCUCUGGGCAGUAACUGACGCUGAGGAGCGAAAGCGUGGGUAGCAAACAGG
rnacentral:rRNA from 1 species